rnacentral:lncRNA from 1 species
GUUUCAUCAUAGACCAUAGCCCCCAACGGGUCCACACCUCAUCCUCUGACUGCAAAUAUCAGUUUCAUCAGCAAAGACACAUCUGGCUUACAUUGAAUUACAACCCAAGUAAGUUUCGCCAAGUCAUUAUGUUUAAGCAAAAGGGUUUCUUAUGGUUCAGGGGUUUCAUUGAUUUCAAAUUAGAGCGCAAUGAAUGAAACUGGUUGACCAUAGCCCAUCAUAUUUACCUAUACAAAAGGUAAUUGAUUAAGUAGCAUCCAUUCAUCAAUCACACGUAUAUAUUCAGAUUAAUAGCAAUAAACUAAAGAUGAAACAAAACCAAUAGAUACUUAAACAUCGCAUUGGACACAAUCGGAAUCGCAAUCAAGCGUAAAACAGAGGGAAACAUAGGGCAAAGAAACAUGUAUAAGCGCUUAUAUAACUGUGGUCGCCGGAGACGCACAUCACAGAACAGACGCCGGAGACGGCUUGAUCACGUCGUUCGUCGUAACCGCCAUAGGUCUCCGGCAACAGCUUCCUAUAUCCCUUAAUCGCAAUUCAAGUGUCAACAUCAACAUCAACAUCAACAUCAACAUCACAGAUCAUACAAAAAGGGUAAGGUUUACAUAAAGAUCAACCACCAUCAUCAAGCCAACAUAAUCAAGGCAACAAUACCCACAACCGGCGGCGAAACAAAAGCCACCGCCAAGAAUGAAGCAAGCAAAACCACCGGAAAACCAAAAACUCUGAUAAAAAAACAUACCUGAGAAAGACACGAAGAAACAGGGGUAUGGCCUUUUCUUAGGGUUUAGCAUAAACCUUGACAACUUCUUUGCUCACCGUAUUUCGAGAGGUUUGAUUUUAGGGAUUAAACGUUUAAGGACUGCCUUCGUCGGCGGUGGUUGGUACUGAUCUUCAAACCGGAUGAGAUGAGUGGCAGUGGUUUUGGACUGAAAGGGAGAGAAGGUAUGUAACAAAUACGUGGAUGUACACCAUAAGUUUUUUUUGAAACACUCCCAAAGCACAGGUUACAACCAACAUAUGCACAAAGUACUUGCUUCUUUAUAUAGGUUUUAAUAUCCAAUAAUAACUGCAAUAUUUUAUAGUUUCAGCUUUACUAUAUCUAACUACAAUAUCUAUUUAUUGCAACUUUAGGAUAUUAACUUAUAUAAGUUCAGUUGACUUAUAAAUUUAAGAUAUUAACUUUAUUAAUAUGGUUAAUAACUGCAUUAUAUUAACACCAAAGAUAAAGUUCAAAUAUAAAAUAAACUUUAUUCAUACGUCUAGGUCAAACAUA